rnacentral:rRNA from 1 species
GAUGAACGCUAGCUACAGGCUUAACACAUGCAAGUCGAGGGGCAGCAUUUCAGUUUGCUUGCAAACUGGAGAUGGCGACCGGCGCACGGGUGAGUAACACGUAUCCAACCUGCCGAUAACUCGGGGAUAGCCUUUCGAAAGAAAGAUUAAUACCCGAUGGCAUAAUUAGACCGCAUGGUCUUAUUAUUAAAGAAUUUCGGUUAUCGAUGGGGAUGCGUUCCAUUAGGCAGUUGGUGAGGUAACGGCUCACCAAACCUUCGAUGGAUAGGGGUUCUGAGAGGAAGGUCCCCCACAUUGGAACUGAGACACGGUCCAAACUCCUACGGGAGGCAGCAGUGAGGAAUAUUGGUCAAUGGGCGCAGGCCUGAACCAGCCAAGUAGCGUGAAGGAUGACUGCCCUAUGGGUUGUAAACUUCUUUUAUAUGGGAAUAAAGUUUUCCACGUGUGGAAUUUUGUAUGUACCAUAUGAAUAAGGAUCGGCUAACUCCGUGCCAGCAGCCGCGGUAAUACGGAGGAUCCGAGCGUUAUCCGGAUUUAUUGGGUUUAAAGGGAGCGUAGGUGGACAGUUAAGUCAGUUGUGAAAGUUUGCGGCUCAACCGUAAAAUUGCAGUUGAUACUGGCUGUCUUGAGUACAGUAGAGGUGGGCGGAAUUCGUGGUGUAGCGGUGAAAUGCUUAGAUAUCACGAAGAACUCCGAUUGCGAAGGCAGCUCACUGGACUGCAACUGACACUGAUGCUCGAAAGUGUGGGUAUCAAACAGGAUUAGAUACCCUGGUAGUCCACACAGUAAACGAUGAAUACUCGCUGUUUGCGAUAUACAGUAAGCGGCCAAGCGAAAGCAUUAAGUAUUCCACCUGGGGAGUACGCCGGCAACGGUGAAACUCAAAGGAAUUGACGGGGGCCCGCACAAGCGGAGGAACAUGUGGUUUAAUUCGAUGAUACGCGAGGAACCUUACCCGGGCUUAAAUUGCAUUUGAAUAUAUUGGAAACAGUAUAGCCGUAAGGCAAAUGUGAAGGUGCUGCAUGGUUGUCGCCAGCUCGUGCCGUGAGGUGUCGGCUUAAGUGCCAUAACGAGCGCAACCCUUAUCUUUAGUUACUAACAGGUCAUGCUGAGGACUCUAGAGAGACUGCCGUCGUAAGAUGUGAGGAAGGUGGGGAUGACGUCAAAUCAGCACGGCCCUUACGUCCGGGGCUACACACGUGUUACAAUGGGGGGUACAGAAGGCAGCUACCUGGUGACAGGAUGCUAAUCCCAAAAGCCUCUCUCAGUUCGGAUCGAAGUCUGCAACCCGACUUCGUGAAGCUGGAUUCGCUAGUAAUCGCGCAUCAGCCAUGGCGCGGUGAAUACGUUCCCGGGCCU